UACUUUUCAUCAGAGAACAAUGAAUAAAAUUAAAUCUAACCCAGCCCAACUGGAGCCCAAUCAUGCACAGGUAGAGAUUCCCUUUUUGGUCAUAGCUAUUCCCUCUCCAUGAACAUAAUGAAAAAUCAUAUUUCUAGUUGUUACAGAUACAUACAUAAAUAUUGGUAAAAACUUGUAAUACAUCAAUGCUUUUAUCACAUUGCUGGGUUUCAUCAUAUUUUUAGAACCCAGUUUUACCUGAGAGUAAUGCCCUAUGCCCAAGUGGCUGUUGGGAGCCAUCCUCGCUUACACAAUGCUGAGGCCACCACGCUUCUGCAGGGCAUGGAUAGCACUGGGGCUAAUGCCUGAUGUGUAAUUACUAUAUCUAUAAAAGACCAAGGGUUUCUCGGAGCUGCUCUAGUAAAAUGCCCUGCCAACUCUGCCUUUCUUUUCAUGUAAAGGUCAACCACAGCCUGUCUGUUGCUCCAGCUAAACAUCUGCCUGAAACGGUCACUGUGCUCAUGUGUGCAUGGAACUCUGAGUGAAGUCCAGAAGGCUCCUCCUGAAAGUGUACCCCAUACAUGCUGUUUUUCUAAUCUAAGAAGUGCACAUCUGUCAUCAGUGUGAUUUGUAGUAAAGAUUACGUUUGAUUGAAAUAUCAAGUUACUGUAAUGCAACAUGAAGAUAAAUGAAGAUCUGCAUUUAAAUCUCUUUGGGUGUUUUUGAAAGACAGCUGCCAUGGACUGAAUUCAGAGAACUCAGGACGAAUGUACUGUUAUUGGAGGAGCUGUGAUUUUUUAGAGUGUUAACCAUCUGAGUUGAAGACCCACUGUGAUACAUGUGCGUGCACAGAUCAGAGGAACUUUCAGGUUUUGGAGGGUGUGAAGAACAAGAACCAAACAAUGUUGUAAGGCUGAGGAAAUGCUGAACGCUUGGAAGUAUUACAGAGUGGAGAAUUUACUCUCAAGCUAUCCUUUAAACUUAGUGUAUUUUUGUUGUUCAGAAAAUCGGCAAAAGGAGGAUCGCACUUAUUGG